UUUGCCUACGGGAGGCAGCAGUGGGGAAUAUUGCACAAUGGGGGAAACCCUGAUGCAGCAACGCCGCGUGAGUGAAGAAGUAUUUCGGUAUGUAAAGCUCUAUCAGCAGGGAAGAAGAAAGACGGUACCUGACUAAGAAGCCCCGGCUAACUACGUGCCAGCAGCCGCGGUUAUACGUAGGGGGCAAGCGUUAUCCGGAUUUACUGGGUGUAAAGGGGGCGCAGACGGCGAUGCAAGCCAGGAGUGAAAGCCCGGGGCCCAACCCCGGGACUGCUCUUGGAACUGCGUG
rnacentral:rRNA from 1 species